AGAGUUUGAUCCUGGCUCAGGACGAACGCUGGCGGCGCGCCUAACACAUGCAAGUCGAACGAGCGAGAGAGAGCUUGCUUUCUCGAGCGAGUGGCGAACGGGUGAGUAACGCGUGAGGAACCUGCCUCAAAGAGGGGGACAACAGUUGGAAACGACUGCUAAUACCGCAUAAGCCCACGGGUCGGCAUCGACCAGAGGGAAAAGGAGCAAUCCGCUUUGAGAUGGCCUCGCGUCCGAUUAGCUAGUUGGUGAGGUAACGGCCCACCAAGGCGACGAUCGGUAGCCGGACUGAGAGGUUGAACGGCCACAUUGGGACUGAGACACGGCCCAGACUCCUACGGGAGGCAGCAGUGGGGAAUAUUGCACAAUGGGGGAAACCCUGAUGCAGCGACGCCGCGUGGAGGAAGAAGGUCUUCGGAUUGUAAACUCCUGUUGUUGGGGAAGAUAAUGACGGUACCCAACAAGGAAGUGACGGCUAACUACGUGCCAGCAGCCGCGGUAAAACGUAGGUCACAAGCGUUGUCCGGAAUUACUGGGUGUAAAGGGAGCGCAGGCGGGAAGACAAGUUGGAAGUGAAAUCUAUGGGCUCAACCCAUAAACUGCUUUCAAAACUGUUUUUCUUGAGUAGUGCAGAGGUAGGCGGAAUUCCCGGUGUAGCGGUGGAAUGCGUAGAUAUCGGGAGGAACACCAGUGGCGAAGGCGGCCUACUGGGCACCAACUGACGCUGAGGCUCGAAAGUGUGGGUAGCAAACAGGAUUAGAUACCCUGGUAGUCCACACCGUAAACGAUGAUUACUAGGUGUUGGAGGAUUGACCCCUUCAGUGCCGCAGUUAACACAAUAAGUAAUCCACCUGGGGAGUACGACCGCAAGGUUGAAACUCAAAGGAAUUGACGGGGGCCCGCACAAGCAGUGGAGUAUGUGGUUUAAUUCGACGCAACGCGAAGAACCUUACCAAGUCUUGACAUCCCUUGGCAGGCAUAGAAAUAUGUUUUCUCUUCGGAGCAAGGAGACAGGUGGUGCAUGGUUGUCGUCAGCUCGUGUCGUGAGAUGUUGGGUUAAGUCCCGCAACGAGCGCAACCCUUAUGGUCAGUUACUACGCAAGAGGACUCUGGCCAGACUGCCGUUGACAAAACGGAGGAAGGUGGGGAUGACGUCAAAUCAUCAUGCCCUUUAUGACUUGGGCUACACACGUACUACAAUGGCGUUAAACAAAGAGAAGCAAGACCGCGAGGUGGAGCAAAACUCAGAAACAACGUCCCAGUUCGGACUGCAGGCUGCAACUCGCCUGCACGAAGUCGGAAUUGCUAGUAAUCGUGGAUCAGCAUGCCACGGUGAAUACGUUCCCGGGCCUUGCACACACCGCCCGUCA
rnacentral:rRNA from 1 species